UACGUAGGGUGCAAGCGUUGUCCGGAAUUAUUGGGCGUAAAGAGCUCGUAGGCGGUCAGUCGCGUCUGCUGUGAAAACUCGGGGCUUAACUCCGGGCCUGCAGUGGGUACGGGCUGACUAGAGUGCGGUAGGGGAGACUGGAAUUCCUGGUGUAGCGGUGAAAUGCGCAGAUAUCAGGAGGAACACCGGUGGCGAAGGCGGGUCUCUGGGCCGUAACUGACGCUGAUGCGCGAAAGCUAGGGGAGCAAACAGG
rnacentral:rRNA from 1 species